rnacentral:snRNA from 1 species
CGUCCUCAGCGACGGACCG